rnacentral:lncRNA from 1 species
GGGCGCCCCAGAGCUGCGGAGCUGCAGACCCGCCGACGGUCUCGCGCUCUGAUUUCCUCACCGUAUGAAAUGAAAUUCCACAGGGGGAUUCGAAAGGAAAUGAGACCGGGACUCUCCGUGCUUCUCGGCCCGCCGCCCUUCCUGUCUCGGGGACACGGUUUCUAAAUAAGGAACUGAUGCUCUGAGAGGCCAAGCAGUUUGCCCAAGAUUACACAGUUCUGAAGCUUCUUCAAAUUUGUUCUCUCUCUCUCUCUCGCCUGCAGGUCAUAGCCGUGCCUGGGAGAACCUUCUCUUCAACUCUGCCGCACCACUGUCAAGCUCACCUUUCUUCUAAGGUUUUAUUUUAGAGUUAACAUCCUCCAAAAAGCCUUCCUCAGGAGUUGAAGGUGCCCCUAAUAUCACAGCCAUGGCAUCCUGUACACUGGACCUUAUUGUCUGUCUGCCUGUUGUACCUUGUAUGAGUCUAUAAGCAAAACCUAUAAGAAGCCACAUCUGGCUAUUCUAUGUACUCAAAAAAUAAUUGGCAAGUGAAAGAAUGAGGAAAAGGAGAAAAAAUUCAGAAGGCCCCUACCCCUUCCAAUGGGUCAAGUCAGGAAUUUCCUACCUGCAUGUGAUUCCCUGUGUCCUAGAGGGUUUUAUUUACUCCUCAGACCUUGGAAACUGUUAACCAGAGUCUCUGUUUGGAGAUCUUAUCUGUGUGCUUCUCCAUGGGUGUUGUUUCCCUGUCUCUGCAGCCAUGCAUUCCUCAGCUCUUUAAGUGGUGGAGCCUGUCUGCCUGGAUAGAGUGCAAAAGCUACAGUGUAAUCUUGCUUUCUUUCAGGGCCACUGACCAGAGGAAAUAAAAACUGGACUGAUUGGGCUCUCCUGAUGUAGACCAGCCAGUGGCCCUCUAAGUUUCCUUCUAUGUUUAAAAUUCCUUAUCUGACAUUGCUAGCUGAUCAGCAGGCCCACAGGUCAGCUGAGGGCUUAUCUCCAGGGCUGGAGCUUCAAAGAGAUACAUGCACACGACUCCCCUGGGUCAGAUGGGCUGUGUCACAGUGAGUUGGGGAUAAUUUGGGAUCAGUCAACAUAACACACAUAACACAACCCAUUAAUUUUUUUUUUCAAAAAGCGAAGUUUAUUUUACUUUUUCCCAUUAUGAAAGUCAUCAAUGCUCAUUAUAGAAAAUUUGGCAAAUAACAAAAAGUGGAAAGAAAAAAAUUCCUUAAUAAUUUAGUAUAUUUGAUAUAUUCAUCCUUAAUCCUUAAUCUUUUACUAUGUUAUAUCUUUAAUAGUUGUGAUGAUAUACUUUUUGUAAUAAAUAUAUAUUUGUGUUGUGGCUUUUUUAAAAUUUAAAAACAUAACAAAU